rnacentral:rRNA from 1 species
UACGUAGGGUGCGAGCGUUAAUCGGAAUUACUGGGCGUAAAGCGUGCGCAGGCGGCUUCGCAAGUCAGACGUGAAAUCCCCGGGCUUAACCUGGGAAUGGCGUUUGAAACUACGGAGCUGGAGUGUGGCAGAGGGAGGUAGAAUUCCACGUGUAGCGGUGAAAUGCGUAGAUAUGUGGAGGAACACCGAUGGCAAAGGCAGCCCCCUGGGUUAACACUGACGCUCAUGCACGAAAGCGUGGGGAGCAAACAGG